AGCCCUGUGGUGUCAACACGUCAGAUUGCAAACCUGAAGAAGUAGACUACCGUCUGCCGGGGCUU
rnacentral:tRNA from 1 species